UACGUAGGUGGCAAGCGUUGUCCGGAUUUACUGGGCGUAAAGAGCGCGCAGGCGGUCGUUCAAGUCGCGUGUGAAAGCCCCCGGCUCAACUGGGGAGGGUCACGCGAUACUGAUCGACUCGAAGGCAGGAGAGGGUAGUGGAAUUCCCGGUGUAGUGGUGAAAUGCGUAGAGUAUCGGGAGGAACACCAGUGGCGAAGGCGACUACCUGGCCUGUUCUUGACGCUGAGGCGCGAAAGCUAGGG
rnacentral:rRNA from 1 species